AACGACUCUCGGCAACGGAUAUCUAGGCUCUCGCAUCGAUGAAGAACGUAGCGAAAUGCGACACUUGGUGUGAAUUGCAGAAUCCCGUGAAUCAUCGAGUUUUUGAACGCAAGUUGCGCCUGAAGCCAUUGGCUGAAGGCACGUCUGCCUGGGCGUCACGC
rnacentral:rRNA from 1 species